GACGAACGCUGGCGGCGUGCUUAACACAUGCAAGUCGAGCGGUAAGGCCCUUUCGGGGGUACACGAGCGGCGAACGGGUGAGUAACACGUGGGUGACCUGCCCUCAGCUCUGGGAUAAGCCUGGGAAACCGGGUCUAAUACCGGAUAUGACUCCAUGACGCAUGUUGUGGGGUGGAAAGCCUUGUGCGGCUGAGGAUGGGCCCGCGGCCUAUCAGCUUGUUGGUGGGGUGAUGGCCUACCAAGGCGACGACGGGUAGCCGGCCUGAGAGGGCGACCGGCCACACUGGGACUGAGACACGGCCCAGACUCCUACGGGAGGCGGCAGUGGGGAAUCUUGCGCAAUGGGCGAAAGCCUGACGCAGCGACGCCGCGUGAGGGAUGACGGCCU
rnacentral:rRNA from 1 species